AGCCCCUCUCUGGAUCACUGUCUUCCCCUUGCAAUUGCUAGGGGGGAUCUAAUUCUUUGUUCUUCUCACUGAUAACCUGAUGAGGCUGAUCAGCUGGCCUGUGGGGAAAUGGAGUAGAGAGUGGGGCUCUCAGCAGCUCCGUGCACCGUUUAAGAUGCAGCCAAAGUACAUAUGAAGCCCACAGUAAACAGGAAAGUAUUACAAAAGAGUUCAGUUUUGCAUGCAAAAGAUCUUGGGAUCAAUCUGUGACAUAGUCAUGUAAAGGUCUCUUAUACUCAAGGGAGCAACUAACUGUGAAUGGAAAAUACUGGAACAGAUGGACAAACGAUCUGGCAUUGUGGGCCAGUCAAAUGCCUCUAGGAGGACUGUAAACAGGAGAACUGUUUGAACCUGUAGCUGAUAUUUGGAAGGACACUGCUUUCCACCAAGAAUUUCCACAGAAAUGCCACAGGCCGUAAUCAUCAGUUUCAGGUUUAUGCAGAUCAAACCUGGACAGAGAUAGCUGCUAAACUACAAGUAUUAUAUCUGAUGAAACAGUUACCCCAACAGGUAGUCCUCAUUUAGUGCCUGCAAUUGGUUCUGGCGAAAUGGUUGCUAAGCAAAUCACAUGACUGAGAGAGAGAUGCUGCAAAGAUUGCUGUUUGCUGCCCUCUCAUUCAGCAACACUGACCCCAAAAAAGAGAAAAGAUUGAUUUCAGUCAUGAUCAAAACAUCAAAAAAGAUGCAUCACUAGAGAGCACCAAAUGGUUACUUUAAAGGAAACAUUUUAUAAGCUGGCUCAGGAAAUGCUUGGACUAUUUAACUCUAUAUUGGAACCAAAAGUUGCUAUUGAAAAGAACCAAGUUCCUCAGAAAAUAAUUGAAAUGGAUUUUACGGUGGAUUUAAAAAUUAUUACCUAUAAGAAAGAGAUGGAAAUACUGGUUUACAAUUGGAAUUGAUGAUCAUUUGAACAUUAAAAAAGAUAUACAGAUAAUGUAUCAAAAGAGGGAUAGGGAUUACCUGUUUAAAUUGGAAUAUAAGAGACUUACAGGGGUGGCUAAAUUGAAAUUACAUAUAGAUUUUGAUAAUGAUGACAAGGAUUUCAAGAGAAGGGACAAGAAUAAUAGAAGAAAGCAGACGUUAGCACUUUAUAUAUGGGAUUCAACAACUGAUGGGAGGAAGAAGAAAAAAUACAAAACUGCUUUAUUUGAUUAUGGUUAAAUAAUGGGUUGUUAUUUUUGGUGAUGUUUAAUGGUUACUGUGACUGAAUAAGUCUUUUUUGGAAACGUCCAAUUGGAUGUAAUGGAUUAGCUUGUAAUAUCCAUGUUACUAUUUUUGGUAUACAAUAAGGGAUUAUAAUUUUUGGUAAUGUUUCACAGUUUUUAUU